UACGAGGGGGGCGAGCGUUGUUCGGAAUUAUUGGGCGUAAAGGGUGCGUAGGCGGUUUGGUAAGUCUUAUGUGAAAUCUACAGGCUCAACUUGUAGUCUGCAUGAGAAACUGCCGGGCUUGAGUGUGGGAGAGGUGAGUGGAAUUCCUGGUGUAGCGGUGAAAUGCGUAGAUAUCAGGAGGAACACCUGUGGCGAAAGCGGCUCACUGGACCAUAACUGACGCUGAUGCACGAAAGCUAGGGGAGCAGACAGG
rnacentral:rRNA from 1 species